GGUCUGCGUACAUACUACCCUCCCCAGACCCCACUGGUGGGAUUAUACUGGGAUGUUGUUGUUGUUGUUGUUGUAGUGAUUAAAAUUUUCCUUUUCGCUUGUCGGGUUAUGUCGUGUCCAAAUUGGAGAAAUUUGAGUUCGAUAUUAAAGUCACGAGAUAAUUUUUCUUCAUUUCAUUUUUUUGGGUGGUAGAAUUGUGAUAGAUAUAAAUCGACUAUUUGUGCCUCUUUUGGUGCUGGCCAUGAGCCAAACAAAUAUGAGUGAUUUAGAAAGAGCACAAAUCUUAGUGUGCGAUUUCUGUUUGACAUCACCAUUUGAUUUUCAUAUAAAGGUAAAUUUAGGGAAAAUAAAAGCUGCAACGUUGUAUCGACAAGUCGUUAAAAUUGGUGAUAAGACUUUUAUAGUCAUGUGUAGUAGAAUUAACGUUUGAAUUCGGAUGAUUUUCAAAUAUUCAUGCAUUCAACUUGAUUCUAUUUUUUAUUGUUUGGACUAUCGUUGCCUUGGUAUUCUUAUCCAUUCAGUAAAAGCAAAUCACAAUUUAUCCUUUGAUCAAGCUUUUCAAUUCAGCAAUAUAUGCUAGAUCUUUUUGUGUCAUAUGUUUUACUGCAAAAUAUUAGAAAAUGGAAGUGUUAUGAUAAGUAAAUCGAUAACUCUUUAUAGUUCGAAUACGAUAGUCGUGAUUGAUAAAGGCUACUUGUACAUGUUCUGAAUAAUGAACUGUUUGCUACAUAUUUCCAUUGAAGGAGUUCUGGUGUAUGUUCUGCAUAUGAAAUUGCACAAUUGUAUCAUUAUAUUUCUUGCUCAAACGCACUGGAACAAUAGAGAUUCAUUUUGAAUCAAGAAACGAUAAGUGUUCCUGGAAAAGACAGGGUAAGAGUAAUAUCCCCAGUUGGUACUUAUGAAGGCAAGCAAGUCAAGGUAAAUAAAUUCAAUGCAGAAUUUAGAAGGUAAACCUACUUGGCUCCACUUUGUCACAAGCAUGUUGAAGGUCAGAAGUUCAGGGGAAUCUUUCUCUUAUAUUUUUCCUUUUUUCUGGAUUGUGUAGUAUUUAUAAGAAUGAGACACAAUCGAAGUCUAAUAAUAAUAGUAAUAGUGAUAGCAGGUUUUAAGUCUAUUACCAAAGUAGGAAGUGAAGGAAUCAAGAACCAAAUGGAGGACAUUCAGGAGAUAAAGGAUGGGAGAGGAAGAUGACAAAUGAAGAGAGAAUGUUGUGUAUGUGGGUCCUGAAUUCAGAUCCCUUCUUCUGUACAUUUUUAUUAUCUAUUUGGCAGCAUCUUUUAUUUUUACUUUUUCUUUUUUGGUUUUGUCUUCCUUAUUUUCUUUUAUUGUGCUUUUUGGAAUUAGCUUAAACUUGUUAAUACUAAACCAAUGUUAUUUCUUGUGAUCAUAUCUUCAGCGCUUGAGUGCUCAUUCAAAGUAAGUUUUUGAACAUUCUAUGUGAUUUUCAAUUGGUUCGAAUGUUGGAUUGUGGUUUUCAAUUAAUUACCUUUUAAUUACUCAAUUACUAGCUCUUCUAAGAAAUUUUGUGAUCCAAAAACUAAUGUCAAUCAAGUUAUGUAGAAUUAAUUGUUAUAUAGUUGAUAUGCUUAAUUGCUUCUGGUGGAUCAAACAGCCGGCGUUUCUUACAACAAAUCAUGGUGGAAAUAUAAUGGGCAAUGUCGCAUUGUAAAUGUCAAACUGCUUACGGUUAGCAUGUAUGCCUAAUCAUUUGUGAGCUGCAGAAAAGAAUGCCAUGUGCUACAUAGCUCUUGCACUCCAUAUCAUUCGAGAAAGAAAAACUUGAUUGUUUUGGUAGUCAUUCUCCAUUCAGUGCAUGUUCGGGUAUAAAGAGUAAACAAUCUCUACUUUUAAUGUACCAUUAUCUGCUUACCUGAAAGCUCUACAUUGUACUUCUCCUCUGUUUUUUCUUGGAGCACCUAAUUGAGAGUACCAAAUCUGACAAGUCAGAUAUCUACAUGCCAGUGAAUAGAAGUGAGAAAACUCCAUUUAAUUUAUGCAGAGAUGAUAUGUUUACUACAUUACUUCAAUUUGAUUCCUUGCACAAGCUUAAUGGUUAUGUGAAAAUUAACAUGAUUGCUUGAUUAGCUUCUGAUUGUCACAUGAAUAUCAUUUAUAUUAGGGGCUAAAUUCUAUUUCUAGCAUAUUUCUAACUUUUGCUAAUUUACUGCUUUGAAAGGGAUGGCUAAGGAGGAUCCGGUGAAACCUGGUGAAACUCGUGAUUGAAAACUAACUUUAUGCAAAUGACCUACUCAUAUAUUCUAAUCAUGUUGGUUGCUGAAUUGAUUAUGCUUUGAGCUCCCUCUAAAUUACUUUCUUGAAUUUACAUAUAAAGUUUAAACGAAAAAUUUAGCUGAUUGCAAGAUAAAGAUAGCUUUAAAUCCACUAAUUUAUUGUUGCUUACCUCAUCAUUAAUUAUUUAGAAUAGUGUCCUAUCGGUGUAACUUCUAUUGUUGGAGGUAUUCUACAUAUGACUUUAUGUUGCCAUUAUUAAGAAUAACAUUUGACCUAAUUUUAUAUUACCAAUAUGAUCAUGAAAUAGAGGUAAAUGGUAACUUCUAUAAUGUGAAGUAUGAUGAAGGAAGGUCUAUUGAAUUUUUCACUAUUGUCGAUGCCAGAUAAAUAUUAAAUGGAGAUUUGGACGGUUAUGGCUCUUGUUUGCCAUAUAAUUUUAUUCGUUCAAUAUCUUGGCUCUAGCUUCUUUCAUUCAUGAUUUCUUUUCUGUUAACCUGAGUUUUAGCUGAGCAUUUUCCUAUUAUUACUGAUUUCUGCAACAGUCUCAAGCACAUUUGAAUUGGCACAUUUACUGGUUUCUCCUCCGCAUGUACUUUCCCUCUCUUUUUUACUGUUCCUAUUUUAUAUUUAUUUGGGGUCUUCUGAGUUAGAUUUCAUUACUGAAUCUCUGUUUGUUUGGUGAUUGAGCUACUAAGAUUAGUUCUGUUCCAGUUUCAUAUUGGCACUGAUGUGCCAGCAGACACCAUUUUUGCUUUAUUUUAACUUUCAUAUUUGUAUAUUUCCUAUGCGCUAAUUUCAUUCGAGAAAGAAAGAUUUGAUCGAGUCGGUAUUCAUUCUCCAUUGUGUGCAGGUUGGACAUAUAAAGAGCAACGAAUCUCCACAUUUGAUGUGCCAUCAUCUGCUUGUCUAAAAGCACUACGUUGUACUUCUUUUUUUUUUUUUUUUUUUGAAGCACUUAAUUGAGAACACUAAAACUGACAUCUCAGAAGAUAGGUACAUGCCAAGGAAUGCAAGUGAGAAGGUUAUAAAAAAGGAAUGCAAGUGAGAAAACAUCAUUUAAUUUCUCUGAAGAUGAUGUUCACCACAUUACUCAAUUUGAUUCCUUGCACAAACUUAACGUGAUGUUAAAAUCAACAUGCUUUUUGCUUAGCAUCUGAUUAUCACAGAAAUAUCAACAUGCUCUUUCUAGCAUAUCUCUUACGUUCAGUGAUUGGUGACUGUGCUAACUUCUUUUUGAUUAAUCUUUCUCCCUUCUCCGGGUAAUGGACUUAACUUGAUUGAUAAAGCUGCUCAUUGUUCUUGUUGUUUGCCCUUUUUAUUAGUUUAUACUUCUGCAGGAGACCUCUUGAUUACUUAACAUCUUUAGGGAACCAUAGAUUUACUAAAGUUGUAAACAUUCUUCCAUCUGCUCAACCAGUUCAAGGUUGUUAAGAUUCUUAAAAUGAAACAACAAUAAUUGAAAUAGUAUUAACACACAACUGAAUUAUUCUAUUUGUCUGGUUUUAUAAUAUUGUUGAGUUCUUGAUGCUUAUAUGUCUGCAUUAGACUGAUUUGUUUCAUUUAUAUUGCAGUUACUUAUAUAUACUAUUGAUUUGUGAUACAGGAAUUGCUGCCUAGGAAGAUUACUUUGUGGAAGUUAAAGGAUAUAAAUUGCUUAAUAUAGUGUUGAUUGAUUAGCUUGAAGAUGUAAUUCCUCCUGAAAUAAUGUGCCUGAGCAAGUGUGUGGCGAAUGUCAUUUUGCAUGGCUAUCCUCGGGGUGCAAUUUGAAGAAGGAAGCAACUAUCAUUGUGCUUGUGAAAUACCGAUAAACCUAUUUCACUAUGUAUUUGUGAAAUCAUAGCUAUUGUAUUAGGUAUUUAUUGUUAUAUAUGUUGUCUAUCGCCAUUUGGCAGUUAUUUACAUGCAUAUAUUUUUGUUA